CAAUUCUUAAACCCUCGCGCAAACUUCACCCUCACCCUUCGCUCACGAUUUGACAUCCAUCCUCAAUCCGACCACCACGUCCCAUAUCCGAACAUCGUCGACCAUCUCCAACAGACACAUAAUGGGAGUCAACAAAUCAAGAGCUUAGAGAUUCAAGAGAUUAAGCUUUUACAGCUUCCUUCUGUUUGUCACUUGAAAAGCUUUAGUGCUAUUGUCCAAGUAAUUUCUCUUCCAAUCCUCUCUUUUUCUUUCUUUUUUUUCUUAAAUUUAAUUUAUAUUUGCUAAGUUGCUUGAUUAUUUAGCAGCUAUUUUGUUUUUGGUGUUUGGUUCGUUAAAAGUAAGGUUACUUUUUUUUGAAUCAUGAUUUGAAAUUCAAUUUCAAGUAUAAAAGUUCCUUUUUUGGUCAAACUUCAUUAAAGAAAGAAUAAAAUUUGAAUAACUAUUUUUUCUUCCAUAUUUUGGUUUGGUUUUUAUGAAAGAGAUUUAGGAGUUUUGGCUUAGUUUUUGAACAUGAAUAAAAAGUAGAAGAGAUUUAGGAGUCUAUAUUCAUGAGUUUAAUUUUAAAGAAACUGUAAAUAAAUUUCAACUAGUACCAAAAUAUCUGUAAUUAAUAGUGCAGCAAAUCCAGGAAGCUGAAGAUGAAACAUAGUAGAACUUAGGUAACUGACAGUGGAUGAAAUUCUUUUGCAGUGGAAAGCAAAUGAACUAACCCCACUUGCUCUUAUGAAAUCUAUACAUAGGGAGGGAAGGGGAGGGGUGUUGCUUUUUUUCUCUUUUUUUCUUUUUUUUGUUGGGUGUAACAGAAAAAUGGUCAUAUAACCCUUAAGUGGACUAUUGUCUUAAGUCCACGUGAAAGAGGAGGUUAGGUAUCAACAACAUUUAGAAUACAAAUUUCAUCCUACUUUGCAAAUGGUUAUGGAGAUUCCAAUCGGAGCCAAACGCCCUCGGGAGAAAAAUUGUUCCAAGCUAAUUAGAAGUGUAGUACCAUAGCAACUAUAUUGGCUCUACACCUAUUGAUAGUAGAAAAUGUAGUGCAAAAGCUCCCUGAAAAGCUAUUGUUAACUGUUUGAGCUGGUUUGAAAAUCACUACAAUUGGAAAAUCAACAAUAUAUGGCGAACUUAUUUCCUUUUAACCCUAUGUUUGCUAAAUUCCCUCGGCACUUUGCUCUUUGUCAAUCCAAAAAUGAUUCAAUCAAAGAUCUAUGGGACUGCUCAAUCAAUCAGUGGCAGCUUUUUAAAUCCCAGAAGGCCUUUCAAUGCCACAGAACUACAAUCAUGGAAUGAGAUUAAGAACAUUCUUCCAACCCCUCGUCAGGACGAAGGUAGUAGGAAACCAAUUUGGAAUUUGAGUAAAGAUAAUUUGUUCUCAAUCACCUAUGUCAAGGAAGCUUUAGAGUCGAAUGCUCACUCUUUUUCCAUGGACUUCCAUCGACAUCACUGCUCAAACCUUUGUCAUUUCCAAGAAAUGCAAAUUUUUCAGUUGGUGUAUCAUCCAUGGGGAAUUAACACCAUGAAGAUUUUGCAAAAGAGAAAUCCAAAUUCUUACCUAAAUCCCUACUGGUGCACACUCUGUCAGUCUAAUAGUGAGGGGAUCGAUCACCUGUUUGUUAACUACAGGACCAUAGCUUCCCUUUGGUCUCUCCCCUUGUUUCCUCUAAAAAAGGACUUUGGCUCAUAUUUUUUAAUAUUUAAUUUCUGUAUAUUCCUUUACAAACUUUAAAAUUACAUUUUAAUAUUGUUUCAACUUCAAACUAAUUCGAAUUUAGGAUUAUUGUUGUGGGUUUUAUAAUAAUUGGUAUUAGUUUAGUUUCUAAUCAAAAAAUCAGUUUUAAAGUAAAAUAUUGUUGGAUAAAUUUUAAUUUCAAUUUGAAACUUUUACAUUAUGCUUAUCACUUUAAUUAUUUACGUACUGAUAAUUCAUUUAUUCAUUUAUAAUUUCUUCCAUUCAUGAAUCUGAAAGUUGUUGUAUAGAUUAUAAUAAAUUCAUUAAUAAUUUGAUUUAUUAACGUAAUAAUUCGAGUUCAAAAUGAAUAACAAAUCAAUAUCACAUUUAAAUGAGAUAGAUUUUAAAAACAUGAAAGUAUUAUUAAGAAAUACUUAAAAAAAUUGGAAGUUAAUAUAUAUAUCAAUAAGGAUGCACCUUCACACCCGAAGAAUUCUAUGUUUGGAUUAAAUAAGGAUGGUAGUCUUUUGUAAAUUUAUUUGAAAUUUUAUAUAACUAGAAGUUGAUAAAAAAAUUGAGAAAUUGUGUAAAAAAUUGAUUUAAGAUUUAGAAAAAGAGUGUGAUUUUAAUUAUUUCAAAAUGUUUUGAAUGAACAAACAUGGGAGUUUAUAUAUAUACAUAACAUAUUGCAGAGAGAACAAAGAAUAUUGAACGAAAAUGGUAAUUCUCAUUUAAUUUAACAGGAUAAGAACAAAGAGUUUGGUCCAGCAAAAUCUACUCCCCUCCUCUCAAAUUUUAUAAGAACAUAGUACUGUAGAAAAACAACAGAAGAAAACAAACUUAUUCUCACAUAUAACAUUCUUAUUCAUCAUGUUCUAAUUGGAAGUUCAAAUCUUCUUACAGACCACAAAUCUUCUUAAUCAUAUCCAUGUCAGAAGAAGGAAUCUUUUGAUAAAUUUCGGGGGCACAGUCGUUAAGCUUAGAAAUGGCUUUGCAACAAGAAGGGUGAGGUGCAAUUGGAAACUUGAUAACGUCUGCCACACACAACGUUGCUUCUAAAAUAAAAGGAGCACAUUUUAGAAAAGAAUUUUGUGGUUCUAAUAAUGGACUAGGUGCCGCAGUUGUCGUGUCGGCCAUCGUCGUGGAUGGAGCUAAAAUGGCCAUGCAGACCAGAAAUACAAGCACGAGCUUCAUUGGGGAUAUGUUAAAGCGACUUGGCUGCCAGUGUUUGUAGGAAAACAAGUGUGGAGGCCUACGGAAUCUUCAGUUUUGUUGGGGUGAGAAAGUUGUGUGAAUUAGGAGCUUCUUAUAUAGGGGAAAUAUGGAGUGGAGAUUUUGGCAUCUUUAUGCUCAUUGAUAUUACUACUGCUUUUGUUCAUGUAACUUUCUUGCUUAUGAACUUUAACACCGUUAUAACUCAAUUAUUGUUAAUACAUAUGACCUAAUUAGCUGUUAAAAAUGAGUGAUAGUUCCC
rnacentral:lncRNA from 1 species